AUACGUAGGGGGCGAGCGUUGUCCGGAAUGAUUGGGCGUAAAGGGCGCGUAGGCGACCCGGUAAGUCUGGAGUGAAAGUCCUGCUUUUAAGGUGGGAAUUGCUUUGGAUACUGUCGGGCUUGAGUGCAGGAGAGGUAAGUGGAAUUCCCAGUGUAGCGGUGAAAUGCGUAGAGAUUGGGAGGAACACCAGUGGCGAAGGCGACUUACUGGACUGUAACUGACGCUGAGGCGCGAAAGUGUGGGGAGCAAACAGGAUUAGAUACCCUGGUAGUCCACACUGUAAACGAUGAAUGCUAGGUGUAGGGGGCAUCGACCCCUUCUGUGCCGCAGUCAACACAAUAAGCAUUCCGCCUGGGGAGUACGGCCGCAAGGUUGAAACUCAAAUGAAUUGACGGGG
rnacentral:rRNA from 1 species